GACGAACGCUGGCGGCGUGCUUAACACAUGCAAGUCGAACGGAAAGGCCCUGCUUUUGUGGGGUGCUCGAGUGGCGAACGGGUGAGUAACACGUGAGUAACCUGCCCUUGACUUUGGGAUAACUUCAGGAAACUGGGGCUAAUACCGGAUAGGAGCUCCUGCUGCAUGGUGGGGGUUGGAAAGUUUCGGCGGUUGGGGAUGGACUCGCGGCUUAUCAGCUUGUUGGUGGGGUAGUGGCUUACCAAGGCUUUGACGGGUAGCCGGCCUGAGAGGGUGACCGGCCACAUUGGGACUGAGAUACGGCCCAGACUCCUACGGGAGGCAGCAGUGGGGAAUAUUGCACAAUGGGCGGAAGCCUGAUGCAGCAACGCCGCGUGCGGGAUGACGGCCUUCGGGUUGUAAACCGCUUUCGCCUGUGACGAAGCGUGAGUGACGGUAAUGGGUAAAGAAGCACCGGCUAACUACGUGCCAGCAGCCGCGGUGAUACGUAGGGUGCGAGCGUUGUCCGGAUUUAUUGGGCGUAAAGGGCUCGUAGGUGGUUGAUCGCGUCGGAAGUGUAAUCUUGGGGCUUAACCCUGAGCGUGCUUUCGAUACGGGUUGACUUGAGGAAGGUAGGGGAGAAUGGAAUUCCUGGUGGAGCGGUGGAAUGCGCAGAUAUCAGGAGGAACACCAGUGGCGAAGGCGGUUCUCUGGGCCUUUCCUGACGCUGAGGAGCGAAAGCGUGGGGAGCGAACAGGCUUAGAUACCCUGGUAGUCCACGCUGUAAACGGUGGGUACUAGGUGUGGGGUCCAUUCCACGGGUUCCGUGCCGUAGCUAACGCUUUAAGUACCCCGCCUGGGGAGUACGGCCGCAAGGCUAAAACUCAAAGGAAUUGACGGGGCCCCGCACAAGCGGCGGAGCAUGCGGAUUAAUUCGAUGCAACGCGUAGAACCUUACCUGGGUUUGACAUGGAUCGGGAGCGCUCAGAGAUGGGUGUGCCUCUUUUGGGGUCGGUUCACAGGUGGUGCAUGGCUGUCGUCAGCUCGUGUCGUGAGAUGUUGGGUUAAGUCCCGCAACGAGCGCAACCCUUGUUCACUGUUGCCAGCACGUUAUGGUGGGGACUCAGUGGAGACCGCCGGAGUCAACUCGGAGGAAGGUGGGGAUGACGUCAAGUCAUCAUGCCCCUUAUGUCCAGGGCUUCACGCAUGCUACAAUGGCUGGUACAGAGAGUGGCGAGCCUGUGAGGGUGAGCGAAUCUCGGAAAGCCGGUCUCAGUUCGGAUUGGGGUCUGCAACUCGACCUCAUGAAGUCGGAGUCGCUAGUAAUCGCAGAUCAGCAACGCUGCGGUGAAUACGUUCCCGGG
rnacentral:rRNA from 1 species